UACGAAGGGGGCUAGCGUUGCUCGGAAUCACUGGGCGUAAAGCGCACGUAGGCGGCUUGUUAAGUCAGGGGUGAAAUCCUGGAGCUCAACUCCAGAACUGCCUUUGAUACUGGCGAGCUUGAGUCCGGGAGAGGUGAGUGGAGCUGCGAGUGUAGAGGUGAAAUUCGUAGAUAUUCGCAAGAACACCAGUGGCGAAGGCGGCUCACUGGCCCGGUACUGACGCUGAGGUGCGAAAGCGUGGGGAGCAAACAGG
rnacentral:rRNA from 1 species